UACGGAGGGUGCGAGCGUUGUCCGGAAUCAUUGGGCGUAAAGGGCGCGUAGGUGGCCCAGUGAGCGUGCGGUGAAAGCUCGGGGCUCAACCCCGAGUCGGCCGUGCGAACUACUGGGCUGGAGCACUGUAGAGGCAGGCGGAAUUCCGGGUGUAGCGGUGGAAUGCGUAGAGAUCCGGAAGAACACCGGUGGCGAAGGCGGCCUGCUGGGCAGUUGCUGACACUGAGGCGCGACAGCGUGGGGAGCAACAGG
rnacentral:rRNA from 1 species